CGGCGCUGGUGGGCGGAGUGAGCAGGGGCCGCUGGCUGCGGGGUCUGCAGGUCCCCGAGCCCCAGGAGAGGGGAUCCUGAGGGACCUGCCCGUGUGUCCUUGCAGCGGGCGCUCGGCCCCGCGGGCUCCCGGCAGCGCCCAGGAAAGGCCGUUUCGCCCUGCGAGGGACACAGAGCCGUUGACCGUGGUUGCAACUGGCAGUUGGCGCAGUAAGGACCCAGCCAGUGUUUCAGAUUUGCUGGGCCGUGGCUGUCACCCAGGGAGCUGCUAAGGGCAUCCAUACCUGAAGGCGGAAGGCAGGAUUGCCGGCGGAGAAGAGAUCCAGGUGCCUUGAUGUGAGUGUUGACGGUGGAAAGCAGGCCAGAGCCAGAGACAGAGUCUUGCUAUGUUGCCUAGACUGGCUUCAAGCUCCCAGGCUUAACAGUCCUCCUGCCUCAGCCUCCUGAGUAGUUGGGACUAUAGACUUGUGCCACCAUGCCCAGCUUGCACUGGUUAUUUUUGGCAGAAGGGAAGUUUCAUCAUAAAGCCUUUCUCUUCAGCUCCGGGUGCCAGCUGGAGCCCCAGAAGAGGAUCAGGCAUCGUGUUUAGUCACAACCCCCACUCCUUCAUUGGGCCAGCAAAUAUCUAUCCAUCUUCCCACCGUCUACUCGCAGCCAACCAUGUUCCUGACACUGAAGCCAGAGAAGACCAGUGUCUCCCUGUAAACCGUGGCCUUCUGUGCACCGAGCUCAGUGGCUCUUCCCCACCAAAACUCCUAAGAGAAUUCAUCCCUCCCCAAAAGGAUCCCCACGAGAUGUUCUGGCCCUCUGCUGACUGCUCCCUGGAAUCUGCACCUCAAGCACUGAGAAUGCUGCGCUCUCCAUUGGUCACCGUCAGACUCCAUUUCCCUGCUGCCAAGUCUUCUCUUCUGCCCUGUGUAUUCCGUGGUGACCCCCUUAAUGUCUGUUCUGUGCCACUAGCUUGGCCCUGGGCCUUUUAUUUAUACCCGAGUCUUACAACGAAGAGUGUCCUGAGCAGACAGUGUCCACCUUCUUUGCUCUUCAGGGGCCUGAGUGUGCUCCUUUCCCUUUUGCAGGUCUAUUGGACAUAGUAAUCCAGUGCGCUGGGGAGGGGUAGCCAGGCCGGCUACAGAGUCUGCAAUGCAGGGGCUUGGGGAGGUUUGGAUUCUCUCUGUCAGCACUAUUGAGAUGAUAUUCAGAAGAGAGAGGACCUCAUACUGUGACCAGACCCAGGACCCUUCCUGGAAGACAGCUCAGUCCAGCUGUGUGUGUGUGUGUGUGUGUGUGUGUGUGUGUGUGUGAGAGAGAGAGAGAGUUAUGUGUGUGCUGUGCUCAUGUGCAUCUGGGUGUAAAAUGACUGUUAGCUGGUUGUGUUACUCAGGGUGGGCUGGGGACUCACUGGAAGAAUCCCCCCAGCCUGCCCAAGACAGGUUUUUUCCUUGUGCCCUCUUCAGAGAGGGUCAGGGGAAGAGGGUCCAGGUGGGCAAAGGCGGAGAUGCCACAAAUGAUUAACCACUAAGGCCAGACGGCUGCCAGGAGGAGUGGGGGAUGAUGAGGUGGCCCCAGGGUCCGGGCAAUUGGCUUUGGUUUUCCGUCUUCUUUCCUCAGGAUGCCCCUGAGGCCUGGGACCUGUGCCUGGCUUUGAGGAGCAUCUGUGGCUUGGCGAUCCAGCUGCUGGGGUGAUCGUGGGCUUCCCUCCUCUCAGCAGGGCUGGAGUUCUUGCCCCAGAGACUGGACAAGUGGCUGU
rnacentral:lncRNA from 1 species